UCGAACGAGAAAUCUCGAGCUUGCUCGAGAGAGUAAAGUGGCGCACGGGUGAGUAACGCGUGGGUAACCUGUCCUUAAAUUUGGGAUAAUCCACCGAAAGGUGGCCUAAUACCAAAUACAGUCCCAAGAACCUAGGUUUUUGGGAUGAAAGCUGACCUCUUCAUGAAAGUUGGCGUUUGAGGAGGGGCUCGCGUACCAUUAGCUUGUUGGUAGGGUAAUGGCCUACCAAGGCUACGAUGGUUAGCUGGUCUGAGAAGAUGGCCAGCCACACUGGAACUGAAACACGGUCCAGACUCCUACGGGAGGCAGCAGUGAGGAAUCUUGCGCAAUGGGGGAAACCCUGACGCAGCGACGCCGUGUGAGUGAAGAAGGCCUUCGGGUCGUAAAGCUCUGUCAAGUGGGAAUAAUGUCUCGCGGUAAAUACCCGAGUGAUUUGAAGGUACCACUAAAGGAAGCACCGGCUAACUCCGUGCCAGCAGCCGCGGUAAUACGGAGGGUGCAAGCGUUACCCGGAUUU
rnacentral:rRNA from 1 species